rnacentral:rRNA from 1 species
CCUACGGGGGGCAGCAGUGGGGAAUAUUGGACAAUGGGGGCAACCCUGAUCCAGCCAUGCCGCGUGUGUGAAGAAGGCCCUCGGGUUGUAAAGCACUUUCAGUGAGGAAGAACGCCUGGUGGUUAAUACCCAUCAGGAAAGACAUCACUCACAGAAGAAGCACCGGCUAACUCCGUGCCAGCAGCCGCGGUAAUACGGAGGGUGCGAGCGUUAAUCGGAAUUACUGGGCGUAAAGCGCGCGUAGGUGGCUUGAUAAGCCGGUUGUGAAAGCCCCGGGCUCAACCUGGGAACGGCAUCCGGAACUGUCAAGCUAGAGUGCAGGAGAGGAAGGUAGAAUUCCCGGUGUAGCGGUGAAAUGCGUAGAGAUCGGGAGGAAUACCAGUGGCGAAGGCGGCCUUCUGGACUGACACUGACACUGAGGUGCGAAAGCGUGGGUAGCAAACAGGAUUAGAUACCCCUGUAGUC